AGUAACGGCGAGUGAAGCGGUAACAGCUCAAAUUUGAAAUCUGGCUCCUCGGGGCCCGAAUUGUAAUUUGUAGAAGAUGCUUUGGGUCUGGGCCUGGCCUAAGUUCCUUGGAACAGGACGUCGUAGAGGGUGAGAAUCCCGUAUGCGGCUGGCGCCCGUGCCCGUGUAAAGCUCUUUCAACGAGUCGAGUUGUUUGGGAAUGCAGCUCUAAAUGGGUGGUAAAUUUCAUCUAAAGCUAAAUAUUGGCCAGAGACCGAUAGCGCACAAGUAGAGUGAUCGAAAGAUGAAAAGCACUUUGGAAAGAGAGUUAAACAGUACGUGAAAUUGUUGAAAGGGAAGCGCUGGCAACCAGACUUGGGCGCUGUUGAUCCGCUAGGGUUCUCUCUAGGGCACUCGGCAGUGCGCAGGCCAGCAUCGGUUUGGGGGGUUGGAGAAUGGCUGGUGGAAUGUGGCUGUCUUUGGGCAGUGUUAUAGCCACCGGUGGCAUGCAGCCUCCCCGGACCGAGGACCGCGCUUCGGCUAGGAUGCUGGCGUAAUGGUUGUCAGCGACCCGUCUUGAAACACGGACCAAGGAGUCUAACAUCUAUGCGAGUGUUUGGGUGUUAAACCCAUACGCGGAAUGAAAGUGAACGUAGGUGAGAACCCGCAAGGGUGCAUCAUCGACCGAUCCUGAUGUCUUCGGAUGGAUUUGAGUAAGAGCAUAGCUGUUGGGACCCGAAAGAUGGUGAACUAUGCCUGAAUAGGGUGAAGCCAGAGGAAACUCUGGUGGAGGCUCGCAGCGGUUCUGACGUGCAAAUCGAUCGUCAAAUUUGGGUAUAGGGGCGAAAGACUA
rnacentral:rRNA from 1 species